UCUCCCGAUCGAUUCUGGAGCUCGUUUUAGCUGAAUCCGUUGUCAUUUCUGUUUGUCGCGCUCUCUUUCUCGGUUGAUUGUGGAUUAGUUGUGUGCGGAUGAUCGCGGGAUUGUAGAUGAGUAGAGUUUCUGGUGUUAGUUCUACGGCGGUGUUUGUUAUGUAGUGGAAUAGGAUGCCCAUGGUCAUACUUUUACAUGCGAUAGGAUUGGAUGGUUUGUGAAUUAGAAGUGCAUGAUUCGGCACGCAUAGAGUUACAUGUCGAGAGCUUGUAUUAGAGUGAUUUAGUGUAAGUAAUCGAGUUAAAUUUUUCCCCCCUCCUCAAGGACUUCCCAUUGUGGUCGAGGGUAAACAUACUCGAGAUAUGGUCAUAGAUUGAAGUUAUACUUCAAGAUUGAAUAUCUAUUGUUUGGCUUACGACUAUAAAUAUAAAUGGUGCUUUCUCUUGUUGUAGUU